rnacentral:pre_miRNA from 10 species
GUCAAACACAUGUGCUUAUCACUUUUCCAGCCCAGCUAUCCAUCAUGUGUUUGUUGGACGGAGAACUGAUAAGGGAAUGUG